rnacentral:rRNA from 1 species
GGUGAGGUAACCGCAAGGGGCCAGCCGCCGAAGGUGGGGUAGAUGAUUGGGGUGAAGUCGUAACAAGGUAGCCGUAUCGGAAGGUGCGGCUGGAUCACCUCCUUUCUAUGGAG